rnacentral:rRNA from 1 species
AUUGAACGCUGGCGGCAGGCCUAACACAUGCAAGUCGAGCGAGCGGCGGACGGGUGAGUAAUGUCUGGGAAACUGCCUGAUGGAGGGGGAUAACUACUGGAAACGGUAGCUAAUACCGCAUACCAUCAGAGGUGCCCAGCUGGGAUUAGCUAGUAGGUGGGGUAAGUGCUCACCUAGGCUACGAUCCCUAGCUGGUCUGAGAGGAUGACCAGCCACACUGGCACUGAGACACGGUCCAGACUCCUACGGGAGGCAGCAGUGGGGAAUAUUGCACAAUGGGCGCAAGCCUGAUGCAGCCAUGCCGCGUGUGUGAAGAAGGCCUUCGGGUUGUAAAGCACUUUCAGCGGGGAGGCGUUACCCGCAGAAGAAGCACCGGCUAACUCCGUGCCAGCAGCCGCGGUAAUUC